rnacentral:ncRNA from 1 species
CCUUGACUGCGAAAGCAGACAAUUGCCAAGACAAGGAGAUUGACAUG